rnacentral:rRNA from 1 species
UACAGAGGUCUCAAGCGUUGUUCGGAUUCAUUGGGCGUAAAGGGUGCGUAGGUGGCGCUGUAAGUCGGGUGUGAAAUUUCGGAGCUUAACUCCGAAACUGCAUUCGAUACUGCGGUGCUUGAGGACUGGAGAGGAGACUAGGAAUUCAUGGUGUAGCAGUGAAAUGCGUAGAGAUCAUGAGGAAGACCAGUGGCGAAGGCGGGUCUCUGGACAGUUCCUGACACUGAGGCACGAAGGCCAGGGGAGCAAACGGG